CCGCGGCUAGACGGAAAGACCCCGUGAACCUUUACUACAGCUUGGCACUGAACAUUGAACCUACAUGUGUAGGAUAGGUGGGAGACUUUGAAGCAGAGACGCUAGUUUUUGUGGAGUCGUCCUUGAAAUACCACCCUUGUAGUUUUGAUGUUCUAACGUUGGCCCCUGAAUCGGGGUUACGGACAGUGCCUGGUGGGUAGUUUGACUGGGGCGGUCUCCUCCUAAAGAGUAACGGAGGAGUACGAAGGUGCGCUCAGCGUGGUCGGAAAUCACGCGUAGAGUAUAAAGGCAAAAGCGCGCUUAACUGCGAGACCCACAAGUCGAGCAGGUACGAAAGUAGGUCUUAGUGAUCCGGUGGUUCUGUAUGGAAGGGCCAUCGCUCAACGGAUAAAAGGUACUCCGGGGAUAACAGGCUGAUACCGCCCAAGAGUUCAUAUCGACGGCGGUGUUUGGCACCUCGAUGUCGGCUCAUCACAUCCUGGGGCUGAAGUCGGUCCCAAGGGUAUGGCUGUUCGCCAUUUAAAGUGGUACGCGAGCUGGGUUUAGAACGUCGUGAGACAGUUCGGUCCCUAUCUGCCGUGGGCGUCGGAAGUUUGAGAAGAGCUGCUCCUAGUACGAGAGGACCGGAGUGGACGAACCUCUGGUGUUCCGGUUGUCACGCCAGUGGCAUUGCCGGGUAGCUAUGUUCGGACGGGAUAACCGCUGAAAGCAUCUAAGCGGGAAGCCCCCUUCAAGAUGAGACUUCCCUGAGGCCUUGCGCCUCCUGAAGGGCCCUUGAAGACUACAAGGUUGAUAGGCUGGGUGUGGAAGCACAGCAAUGUGUUGAGCUAACCAGUACUAAUUGCCCGUGAGGCUUGACC
rnacentral:rRNA from 1 species